AUGCAAUCUCGCAUUGACGCUGAAGUACGUUUCUGCAAGGCAGAUUUCUGAUUGGCAAAGGUGUCUUCUUAAUCUUAAUUUGUUUUAAUUUUGUUAUGCAGGUUGUAAAGCUUCUAAGAGAAGCAUAACAUCGUGUGAAAGCCCUGUUAAAGAAGCAAGAGAAGGCAUUACACGAAUUAGCAAAUGCUCUUUUGGAGUACGAAACACUUAACGCAGAAGAAAUAAAGCGCAUUCUUCUGCCGUACCGAGAAGGACCUUUUCCCGAACAACAAGAAGCGCAGGAAGAGGGGGACCUGGUAUUGGCCUAAACUAUAUAACUCAAUAUCCAUAACCUGCGAUCUAACUUGGUCGGAGGGGAAGCUCUGCACAGUGUAUUUUAAGCAGCAAAGGUAAUUUAUUUUACAUAAUUUCUUGCA